rnacentral:rRNA from 1 species
GACGAACGCUGGCGGCGUGCUUAACACAUGCAAGUCGAACGGGAUUUCGUAAACAGAACCCUCGGUGGAAGAUUACUAAUGAGAGUGGCGAACGGGUGAGUAACGCGUGAGCAACCUGCCUAUGACAGUGGGAUAGCCUCGGGAAACCGGGAUUAAUACCGCAUAAAAUCGUAGAAACACAUGUUUUAACGGUCAAAGAUUUAUCGGUCAUAGAUGGGCUCGCGUCUGAUUAGCUAGUUGGUGAGAUAACAGCCCACCAAGGCGACGAUCAGUAGCCGGUCUGAGAGGAUGAGCGGACACAUUGGAACUGGGACACGGUCCAAACUCCUACGGGAGGCAGCAGUGGGGAAUAUUGCACAAUGGGGGAAACCCUGAUGCAGCGACGCCGCGUGAACGAAGAAGGUAUUCGUAUCGUAAAGUUCUGUCCUAUGGGAAGAUAAUGACAGUACCAUAGAAGAAAGCUCCGGCUAAAUACGUG